rnacentral:rRNA from 1 species
GAUGAACGCUGGCGGCGUGCCUAAUACAUGCAAGUCGAGCGAACAGACGAGGAGCUUGCUCCUCUGACGUUAGCGGCGGACGGGUGAGUAACACGUGGAUAACCUACCUAUAAGACUGGGAUAACUUCGGGAAACCGGAGCUAAUACCGGAUAAUAUAUUGAACCGCAUGGUUCAAUAGUGAAAGACGGUUUUGCUGUCACUUGUAGAUGGAUCCGCGCCGCAUUAGCUAGUUGGUAAGGUAACGGCUUACCAAGGCAACGAUGCGUAGCCGACCUGAGAGGGUGAUCGGCCACACUGGAACUGAGACACGGUCCAGACUCCUACGGGAGGCAGCAGUAGGGUAUCUUCCGCAAUGGGCGAAAGCCUGACGGAGCAACGCCGCGUGAGUGAUGAAGGUCUUCGGAUCGUAAAACUCUGUUAUUAGGGAAGAACAAAUGUGUAAGUAACUAUGCACGUCUUGACGGUACCUAAUCAGAAAGCCACGGCUAACUACGUG